GCAAGUCGAGGGGUAACAUGAGUGCUUGCACUUGAUGACGACCGGCGCACGGGUGAGUAACGCGUAUGCAACCUACCUUUAACAGGAGGAUAGCCCCGAGAAAUCGGGAUUAAUACUCCAUAAUAUCAUUAUCUUGCAUAGGAUUAUGAUUAAAGCUUUUUGUGGUUAAAGAUGGGCAUGCGUGACAUUAGUUAGUUGGUAAGGUAACGGCUUACCAAGACGAAGAUGUCUAGGGGGUCUGAGAGGAUGAUC
rnacentral:rRNA from 1 species